AUGAGUAGUGCGGCGAGAAUCCUUGAGGAGACAGCUCCGUCAAGGAAGAAUGAGGUGCACCUACCACCCAAGCCGGAACUGCCUAAGGUGGAGUUGCCAACGUUCCCAGAGGUUUACCUGCCACCCAAGCCGGAGAUGCCCAAGGUAGAGCUGCCAACGUUCCCGGAGGUUCACCUGCCACCCAAGCCGGAGAUGUCCAAGGUGGAGCUGACGCGGAAGCCCGAGAUGCCCAAGGUGGAGCUUCCACCAAAGCCCGAGUUGCCCACUGUUCCCGUGUUCCACUUCCCAAAGCCGGAGGACAAGCCAUGA
rnacentral:rRNA from 1 species